rnacentral:rRNA from 1 species
UGCAAGUCGAGGGGCAGCACAAGGAGCAAUCUGAGGUGGCGACCGGCGCACGGGUGAGUAACACGUAUGCAACCUGCCUGUAAGCGGGGAAUAACCCGUUGAAAGACGGACUAAUACCGCAUAAUACUAAAUUACUGUAUGGUAAUUUAUUUAAACAUUUAUGGCUUACAGAUGGGCAUGCGCAUGAUUAGCUAGUUGGAGAGGUAACGGCUCCCCAAGGCAACGAUCAUUAGGGGUUCUGAGAGGAAGGUCCCCCCACACUGGUACUGAGACACGGACCAGACUCCUACGGGAGGCAGCAGUGAGGAAUAUUGGUCAAUGGACGAGAGUCUGAACCAGCCAAGUCGCGUGCAGGAAGAAUUGUCCUAUGGAUUGUAAACUGCUUUUGCAGGGGAAUAAAGUGCAUCACGUGUGAUGUUUUGUAUGUACUCUGCGAAUAAGGAUCGGCUAACUCCGUGCCAGCCGCCGC